CCUAAGAAGAACCGCCCCCUGCCACUAGCCCAAGCCAGGCCUGCUUCUCUGGGGAGAGGAGGCACGGUAGCCCCUGACCCUAGCCGCUGCCCGACCCCCAGACCACAGCCUGCAAGAGGCUAACCCCUCCCUACUGCCCUGUGGCCCGCGCCCCCACCCCGUUGGUUGACGAGGCUGCCCCUGCCCGCACGUAUUUUGUAUUAUAAAAUGACUGCCGUCGCCAUGGCAACAUAAAAGGAGCCGAUCUCAUUACUGGGUCCUGGACACAUUAUUUUCUCCAAGGAAUUUCUUCUUUUCAUUAUUUCCCUCCAAAGGCACACCCCCUCCUCCCAUUUUCUAUAGUGGAAUGAUGCUUCUGACCCACCUUGAAGGGCUGGACCAAGGCAUCCGGUCAAAGUGCCCCCUGGAGAAGGUGAGCGCGGAGCACGGGGGGCUGGGUAUAAGGUGAUGCUAGGGGUUCGUUCACUGACGCGUGGUG
rnacentral:lncRNA from 1 species